GCCCAAUAGCUAGCCCAAUCCCCAAAAAUAAAUUAACCAUCAUUUAUAACCCCACAGACACUAAAGAAAACAAAACAAACCAUUUUUCCCUCUAAGUAUGGGAGACAGAAAAGAGCUUCGGCGCGAUAAAGAAAGUACCGCAAGGGAAAGCUGAAAGAGAAAUGAAACAACCAAUUUAAGCCCAUAAAAGCAGAGAUUUAACCUC
rnacentral:rRNA from 1 species